UACAGAGGGGGCAAGCGUUAUUCGGAAUUAUUGGGCGUAAAGGGCGCGUAGGCGGUCGUGCAAGUGGAAAGGUGAAAUCCCUCGGCUCAACCGAGGAACUGCCUUUCAAACUGCAUGACUUUGAGUCCGGGAGAGGUGAGUGGAAUUCCCAGUGUAGCGGUGAAAUGCGUAGAUAUUGGGAGGAACACCAGUGGCGAAGGCGGCUCACUGGACCGGAACUGACGCUGAGGCGCGAAAGCUAGGGGAGCAAACGGG
rnacentral:rRNA from 1 species